AGAGUUUGAUCCUGGCUCAGAUUGAACGCUGGCGGAAUGCUUUACACAUGCAAGUCGAGCGGCAGCGCGGGGCAACCUGGCGGCGAGCGGCGAACGGGUGAGUAAUGCAUCGGAACGUACCCCGUCGUGGGGGAUAACUACCCGAAAGGGUAGCUAAUACCGCAUACGACCUGAGGGUGAAAGCGGGGGACCGUAAGGCCUCGCGCGAUGGGAGCGGCCGAUGCCGGACUAGCUAGUUGGUAGGGUAAAGGCCUACCAAGGCGACGAUCCGUAGCUGGUCUGAGAGGACGACCAGCCACACUGGAACUGAGACACGGUCCAGACUCCUACGGGAGGCAGCAGUGGGGAAUUUUGGACAAUGGGCGAAAGCCUGAUCCAGCCAUUCCGCGUGAGUGAAGAAGGCCUUCGGGUCGUAAAGCUCUGUCAGAGGGGAAGAACCUCCCGUCGGUUAAUACCCGGCGGGCCUGACGGUACCCUCAAAGGAAGCACCGGCUAACUCCGUGCCAGCAGCCGCGGUAAUACGGAGGGUGCGAGCGUUGUUCGGAAUUAUUGGGCGUAAAGCGCGUGCAGGCGGCUCGCUAAGUCUGAUGUGAAAGCCCCGGGCUCAACCCGGGAAGUGCAUUGGAAACUGGCGAACUUGAGUACGGGAGAGGGAAGUGGAAUUCCGAGUGUAGGGGUGAAAUCCGUAGAUAUUCGGAGGAACACCGAUGGCGAAGGCAGCCCCCUGGGUCGACACUGACGCUCAUGCACGAAAGCGUGGGUAGCAAACAGGAUUAGAUACCCUGGUAGUCCACGCCGUAAACGAUGGGCACUAGGUGUCGCGGGUAUUGACCCCUGCGGUGCCGUAGCUAACGCAUUAAGUGCCCCGCCUGGGGAGUACGGGCCGCAAGGCUAAAACUCAAGGAAUGACGGGGGCCCCGCACCAGCGGUGGAGCAUGUGGUUUAAUUUCGACGCAACGCGAAGAACCUUACCUGGGUUUGACAUCCCCGAUCGUACCUUAUGGAAACAUAGGGUUCAGUUCCGCUGAUCGGUGACAGGUGCCUGCAUGGCCUGUCGUCAGCUCUGUCCAUGCGAAUGUUGGAUUAAGUUCCCGGCAACCGAGCGCACCCUUGUUCCUUAGUUGUCCACCCAUUUCAGUUGGCACUCUAAGAGAACUGCCGUGUGUUUAACCGAGGAAAGUUGGAAUGACGUCAAGUCCUCAUGCCCUAUAUAGGUUAUAGGCUUUCCUCACCGCCUCAUUA
rnacentral:rRNA from 1 species